GAGUCGGGAUGGCCGAGCGGUCUAAGGCUCUGCGUUCAGGUCGCAGUCUCCCUGGAGGCGUUGGUUCGAAUCCCACU
rnacentral:tRNA from 1 species